AGUGAACGCUGGCGGUAGGCCUAACACAUGCAAGUCGAACGGCAGCACAGUAAGAGCUUGCUCUUACGGGUGGCGAGUGGCGGACGGGUGAGGGAUACAUCGGAAUCUACUUUUUCGUGGGGGAUAACGUAGGGAAACUUACGCUAAUACCGCAUACGACCUACGGGUGAAAGCAGGGGAUCUUCGGACCUUGCGCGAUUGAAUGAGCCGAUGUCGGAUUAGCUAGUUGGCGGGGUAAAGGCCCACCAAGGCGACGAUCCGUAGCUGGUCUGAGAGGAUGAUCAGCCACACUGGAACUGAGACACGGUCCAGACUCCUACGGGAGGCAGCAGUGGGGAAUAUUGGACAAUGGGCGCAAGCCUGAUCCAGCCAUACCGCGUGGGUGAAGAAGGACUUCGGGUUGUAAAGCCCUUUUGUUGGGAAAGAAAAGCAGCAGGUUAAUACCCCGCUGUUCUGACGGUACCCAAAGAAUAAGCACCGGCUAACUUCGUG
rnacentral:rRNA from 1 species